AGGAAAAAAAAAAAAAAAGAAUACAGGAACGACACCAUACCAUUCGGCUAGAGGAAGUGUUUUUUAAGCAUCCACACUCAGGUGCUUGCAAACAGGAAGACUGGACAAACCUCUCUGCGAGACAAGGCGAAGCAGGUGUCAUGAAGUCCGGGAUUUCUCUGGAACAGCAUCUGGCCUUUGCCCCUGCUAGUUGUUUAGCUCUAUUUAGUAUCUUUUAUGCAUUCAACACAUCACACAUUGCAAAACAUUGCUUUUCAGGGUUGCUUGAAUUUUUAUAAAGAGAUAACAGCUGUUGUUUCAAGUAAGACUGAUCCAGGCGUUGCUGCCAGCCAUAUACCAUGCUUGUGGAAAGCAUCACUUCAGUAACAUCCAGCGGUGUGGAGUCUCUGGUUUGGAUUGGAUGUUUCCCAGAAGGGAGAGCUGGGUGGAAAGGGACUCAUUUCUGCCAGAGAAGAGAAAGGCAUGCCCCAUGGGGUGUCCUCCAGAAUGAAGGAUCUCAAAGGCCAGAUAUAUGGAACAUAGCAAGAAGGCAGAAACAGAGCCCUCAUCAGACACAACAUGCUGGCACCUUAAUAUUGGAAUUCUGGCCUCCAGGACUAUGAGAAGAUACAUGUCAGGUUCUCCAGAAGCAGAUGCAGAAAUAACAUCUAGAGUGUGGGGUGUUGAUUAAGGAUGAAUUUCUGUGAGCAGAAGAGAAAAAAGAGGAGAUAGAGGAAGAAGGUGAACUUCCUCGUGGGAACAACCAUGCCUCAGUAACCCCAGGAUCUCCGGAGGGAGGACUGGACAAAUCACACCUAACAGCGUGUCCUGUGUCACAGUAAAAUGGGCAGGUGUUUAUUGCCACUUGGCUCAGUCACAAAAUGCCUUGGCCCUGGGAAGGACAGGAGAACUGCAGGCAGAGCAGUUCUCUGCAGGGCGGGUGGAAGCUGAAGGAGCUGACAGCCAAAUGCUGUUUACAGACCACACUCCCUACUCCUGGGCAGGCAAGUCUGGACUUCAAGGGGAAGGUCAGCGACUCAGCCUCUUAUGACUUCCACACUUCCUUGCAGGUAUGACUUUGCAUCAGCUGGUCAUAAACACCCCUCACAAUGAUGAAAGCAAUGGACUCUGUCUCUGAAGAGAAAUGUGUGAGUGCCCACUGAUAAGUAUGUCACCAACAACUUCAAAAAUUGUUCAUAAGUGUUCCAAAACCCGCCCACAAGUUUUUACAGUGGAUAAACCUAAUUAGGGUUAACUUGACAUUGAAUUUUAUUUUCUUACUGCAUUUAAAUUCACAUCCAACUGUAUUUCAAUAAAAUCUCAAAAUCAAAAUGAU
rnacentral:lncRNA from 10 species